GCUAUUAAUAGAGGUAGGUAAUGCAGACCAAAAGCAGGCCCGGGGUGAGAGAUGAUAAAUUUGAAUUUUAACAUGUUGAGUUUGGACAUCCAGGAUGAAAUAACCACAAAACAUUUAAAUAUACGAAUCUGAAAAGGUAAGCAUCAUAAGCAUAUGAGCUAUUGGUAAAAUUCUGAUACUUAAUGAAGUCUCGCAGGGAGGCAGUACAGAGGCAAGCAAUGGGCUGGGGAUAAAACAUAGGGAAAUAUUAUUUAAAUAAAGAUGAAAGAAAAG
rnacentral:lncRNA from 10 species